GGGCUUGGUAAAACUUGUAGAAGAAGACAAAAUUUACGACCUAAUCAAGAGAAGAUUCGUUACUGGUUUGGGAUUACUUGGUCCGCAAACUACGGUCUCCGCGGUUUACAAGAAUAGUCAUUCGACUCAUAUUGGACAAGCCCGUUUGCACACGUUUCAGAUUUACUCGCAAGCAGUAGAGAAGAAAAAUGGGGGUAAUGCCAAUGUCAAGUACGCUUGGUUGGGGGCUUCUAAAGAUCAAAUCAAUAGCAUUCUGGGCUAUGGUUUUUCCCAUUGCAACAAACCCGAGAGUUCGCAGUUUCUUGGCUGUGGCAUUUAUCUCUCCCCUGAUAAUCAUCCCCUAGAAAGCCUGGAAGAUACUGUUGUUGAUGAAGAUGGUUUAAGGCAUUUAUUGCUCUGUCGUGUAAUAUUGGGGAAAUCAGAGCUUGUGAAUCCUGGUUCUAGACAGAGUCAUCCAAGUUCUGAAGCUUUUGAUUCUGGUGCUGACAAUCUCUUUGCACCAAAGAAAUACAUAGUUUGGAGUACACACAUGAACACCCACAUCUUGCCUGAGUAUCUAAUCAGUUUCAGAGCUCCUCCUCGCUUGAGAGGAACUUUGAAAGCCAAACAGCCUUUCAGAAUGCCAACUUCCCCUUGGAUGCCAUUUCCAUCUCUGAUUUCUGUUCUCUCCAAGUUUCUGCCUGCCUCUGAAAUUGCCCUGAUUACCAAACAACACAAAGACCACAGGGAUCAUAAGAUUUCGAGGCAUGAGCUGAUAAAGCGAGUGAGACAGAUAGCGGGGGACAAGUUGUUGAUACAUGUAAUCAAAUCAUUCAGGACACAGGAAAGUAAUGGGUAUGUUGGAUUUGAAGGAAAGGGAAGCAGAAAUGGAGCAAGAAAUGGACAGAAAGCAGCAGGGUGUGUAGAUUCACCAAUUUUGUUAGAGUAGUUGGAUUGGGAAGUUUGCAGUUUCUGUUCUGUUACGACGAAAGAUCCAAGCGCAAGCGAAGAAGGCGGGAAUUCAAGGAGCAAAUCAGUGGCUAAAACUAACAUUUGAUCAUCUUCACCAUACUGUACAGUUAAAAGUGUUUUGCAAUUGGAAGAAUUAGCAUUACCGGCAAAAUGAAUACUGCUUUUACUUCAGAAAAUAAGAAAAUGUGUUUGUGCUUGAAAGACAGCUAUCUUUCUUAGUUUCCUGAGGAUUUUCCCUUUUUCUUCUUAAUUUUAGAGAUGAAUAUGGUUCUUGUGGAGGAGAUAAGAGCAGGCUUUACUUAAAACUUGGACUUCAACCUAAAGGAUGUUUGCUCUUUACUCUUGUGAGCAAUAUGUGGGGUUGUUUGGGUUGAUAAUUUGUCAAACCAAUUUGGGCUUAAGGAGAGUUGGACUUGAUAUGUGGGUUUGUAAUUUGUAAAAGUAACUAGAGACCUAAUAAAUUCCAACAUUUACAGUGUAC
rnacentral:misc_RNA from 1 species